AUUGAACGCUGGCGGCAUGCCUUACACAUGCAAGUCGAACGGCAGCACGGGUGCUUGCCCCUGGUGGCGAGUGGCGAACGGGUGAGUAAUACAUCGGAACAUGUCCUGUAGUGGGGGAUAGCCCGGCGAAAGCCGGAUUAAUACCGCAUACGAUCUACGGAUGAAAGCGGGGGACCUUCGGGCCUCGCGCUAUCGGGUUGGCCGAUGGCUGAUUAGCUAGUUGGUGGGGUAAAGGCCUACCAAGGCGACGAUCAGUAGCUGGUCUGAGAGGACGACCAGCCACACUGGGACUGAGACACGGCCCAGACUCCUACGGGAGGCAGCAGUGGGGAAUUUUGGACAAUGGGCGAAAGCCUGAUCCAGCAAUGCCGCGUGUGUGAAGAAGGCCUUCGGGUUGUAAAGCACUUUUGUCCGGAAAGAAAUACUUGGCCCUAAUACGGUCGGGGGAUGACGGUACCGGAAGAAUAAGCACCGGCUAACUACGUG
rnacentral:rRNA from 1 species